rnacentral:misc_RNA from 1 species
GUAACAAGAAAUACAAACUAUACAGUAAUGAAGAAACAAAGCACAACACAGUCAUCAACCAAUAGCAGUUUACAUUGCCAGAUUACAUUUUCUCUGUUUCACUCAAUAACCACACCUCAGAAAAAAGCAACAGAAAAUUGCUUCCUAAAUGCUCUCCUAACAAUAACCUCAAGUCCAAAUCAACAUUAACUACAAUUUUAAAAACAGGAAAAAAAAAAAAAGAGCUUUGGCUCUGCACAAUCACACAAAGAAUUUUAAACUUUGAGCCUCACAUGAGUGAAGACAAAGCUUUGACAGAACACAACCUAGCUGCAAGCUACAAGUCACUAAAUUUCACUAAAUUAAUCAUCUCUACUCGUCCUAACCAAAAUAAACAAAAGCUGCAAUGACAAUCGCAAAUACAACAAAAACAAUAUCUACAAUACAUCAAAACCAAACUAAUUAAACACACACAAAAAGAAUGAUGGCACGAGAUGCGAGUAAAAGGAGCUCUAUUGUAAUCUCACUUGCGAUAAAUGACAAAAGAAGAACUUCAAGUGGUCCUCUUCCCUGAACCAAUUAGCUUAGGAGAGGUGAAUUCGCAGUACCUCAUCUCGUUAUUUCACUUUCUAAUUGGAUCAUACCAAUUUCUCAGUAACCAAACACAGAUGUAAAAAAGAAAAUGGAGGAUUGAUUUGUAUUUUGAAGGAAAAUUUUACCCGGAUCUUAGCGAGGACGCCCU